UCUCUGUUCAUAGGUGUGAAAGAACAGUAUCAAAUUUCUGGUCAUUGUAUGAAGUAUUUAAAGUGCCAUGUGAGGCCCUAGUAAAACAUGAACUCAGAUAUUUUCAAAACAUGACUAUAAAAAUAAUUGAAGAGAUUUGGUAUACAUGAUGAAAUUUAGCAGUCAUGAUU